GCGUGGGUCAGUUCUUCUCGCCCGAGGUCGCCGAGGAAGACAUCCCACCGCGAGAUGUGGCGGACUGUCUGGAAGGACGAGCCGACAUGCCCAUCCUGGCCUACUUCACCGGCGACUACGGCCCCACGGCGACCCGUCUUCUCUUGAAGGUCGCCGCCGACGCCAGAGGAUUCGUGCUUGCCAGCGUCCUCUUCAAUCUCACGGUUCUCUCUCUCUUUCUCUUCUUUGGUUAACAAGAGUAUUAUCGUUUGCUAUACCAGAUGCAUCCUGUCUUCUUUCAGUGAUUUAUCUGGUCUUAAACUCAUCAAGACCAGGAGGAACAACUCGUCCCAAUCUUGCUGGUGUCAGAACAUUUUCAGCAUCCACCUUCUACGCUGGAUAAUCUCCAGAAUUUAUUUUUUUCAGAGGAUUUUGUAGCUGGUAUAUCUAUGGCUUACUUGUCAGGAAAGAGAGGGCUAGGAGGGCCUAGCUGCUACAGCCAGGAUGAUGAGCCUGGAAUUGUCGAUUUGUAAUUGACAUAUCCUUUGGUUCAUUUUAUCAUUCUUCUGAAUAUCUCGGAGUGUUAAUACCGCGAACAUAAAAUUAUUAGCAAGUUGCAGUGAUAAUGGAGAGUCUGAGCACAUACUUUCUUUGAUCAAGCAACUGCCGUGUUUCAUCCAAACUUUUCCCUUGUCCUUCAACCAUCUUGGUGAAUUAACUGUAACCGAGUAACAUAAGUGCAAAUAAAAUAAUAUUAGCCUGUUUCUUAAUAGACAUCCUUUUCUCAAAUUGUUUCUCCUGUUUAUACUUUGUGCAGUAUUAAUCACCAUGUUCAUAAUUUUCCCUUUGUCAAUGCCAGAGCCAUGUGUUAGGAUCUUAUAAGAUUAAUGUGGAUGCAUCUAAAGGUAUAAACAUUGUACCCCCAUGGAGUUACCACACAGCUUAGCGCGGUUCGGCCAUCGGAUUGAGCCUUUAAAUCUCUUCCCCGCCGUUGAAUCGCGGUCCCAGGCAUCUUUGGACAUGAACCGCAAGCUUGGUUAUGCUCUAAGUAUGAGCCUCAAACCUAUAUGGAUACAUCAACUAAAAGCAAAGAGUCCAUUGAGCUUUAGGUAAUGAGUUUACUUGCAUUAACAUGUUACACUAAUAGUAAGUUCUUGAAAUAUAAUUGCUUUCAGUACUUCUCCUUUUGCACUUUAUUUUGGACAUCUGAUUGCUACCAACAUUCUUGCCUCUAGAAACAAUUUUACUACUCACCGCCCCCUUUCCCGUGGAUUCAGUUGAGGGGCGCAUGUGGUCUUGUUUUCUUUGGCGGAUUCCUUGGUUCUGUGGUAUCUCCUUCUUCCUGGCAUUCUUUUUGGCUGCUGUCCCUGUCUACUUCUUGUGUUGAGCUGGUUGUUAUUUUCUAGCCACUUUUGGUUCUUCCACCUGUCUCUCUGUGAUUUGUUCUUCUGCUCGUCCGUCUUUCUUAUG